GACGAACGCUGGCGGCGGGCUUAACACAUGCAAGUCGAACGGAAAGGCCCUGCGAGCGUGGGGUGCUCGAGGGGCGAAGGGGGGAGGAAGACGUGAGUAACGUGCCCUAGACUUUGGGAGAACAUCAGGAAAGGGGGGCUAAGAUCGGAUAGGAGAUGCUGCAGCAUGGUGGGGGGUGGAAAGUUUCGGCGGGUGGGGAUGGACGCGCGGCUUAUCAGCUGGUUGGUGGGGUAGUGGCUGACCAAGGCUUUGACGGGUAGCCGGCCGGAGAGGGUGACCGGCCACCUUGGUCCUGCGAUACGGCCCAGACUCCUACGUGAGGCAGCAGUGGCGAAUCUUGCACAAUGGGCCGACGCCUGAUGCAGCAACGCCGCGUGCGGGAUGCCGGCCUUCGGGUUGUAAACCGCUUUCGCCUGUGACGAAGCGUUAGUGACGGUACUGAGUAAAGAAGCACCGGCUAACUACGUG
rnacentral:rRNA from 1 species